GACGGGUGAGUAAUGCCUAGGAAAUUGCCCUGAUGUGGGGGAUAACCAUUGGAAACGAUGGCUAAUACCGCAUAAUGCCUACGGGCCAAAGAGGGGGACCUUCGGGCCUCUCGCGUCAGGAUAUGCCUAGGUGGGAUUAGCUAGUUGGUGAGGUAAUGGCUCACCAAGGCGACGAUCCCUAGCUGGUCUGAGAGGAUGAUCAGCCACACUGGAACUGAGACACGGUCCAGACUCCUACGGGAGGCAGCAGUGGGGAAUAUUGCACAAUGGGCGCAAGCCUGAUGCAGCCAUGCCGCGUGUGUGAAGAAGGCCUUCGGGUUGUAAAGCACUUUCAGUCGUGAGGAAGGUGGUGUAGUUAAUAGCUGUAUCAUUUGACGUUAGCGACAGAAGAAGCACCGGCUAACUCCGUGCCAGCAGCCGCGGUAAUACGGAGGGUGCGAGCGUUAAUCGGAAUUACUGGGCGUAAAGCGCAUGCAGGUGGUUUGUUAAGUCAGAUGUGAAAGCCCGGGGCUCAACCUCGGAAUUGCAUUUGAAACUGGCAGACUAGAGUACUGUAGAGG
rnacentral:rRNA from 1 species